UGGGGAAUUUUGGACAAUGGGCGAAAGCCUGAUCCAGCAAUGCCGCGUGUGUGAAGAAGGCCUUCGGGUUGUAAAGCACUUUUGUCCGGAAAGAAAUGGCUCUGGUUAAUACCUGGGGUCGAUGACGGUACCGGAAGAAUAAGGACCGGCCAUACUACGUGCCAGCAGCCGCGGUAAUACGUAGGGUCCAAGCGUUAUCGGAAUUACUGGGCGUAAAGCGUGCGCAGGCGGUUGUGCAAGACCGAUGUGAAAUCCCCGAGCUUAACUUGGGAAUUGCAUUGGUGACUGCACGGCUAGAGUGUGUCAGGGGUAGGGGUAAUAUCCACGUGUGCAGUGAAAUGCGUAGAGAUGUGGAGGAAUACCGAUGGCGAAGGCAGCCCCCAUGGGAUAACACUGACGCUCAUGCACGAAAGCGUGGGGAGCAAACAGGAUUAGAUACCCUGGUAGUCCACGCCCUAAACGAUGUCAACUAGUUGUUGGGGAUUCAUUUCCUUAGUAACGUAGCUAACGCGUGAAGUUGACCGCCUGGGGAGUACGGUCGCAA
rnacentral:rRNA from 1 species